CAGUUCGGAUUGUAGGCUGCAACUCGCCUACAUGAAGUCGGAAUUGCUAGUAAUGGCAGGUCAGCAUACUGCCGUGAAUACGUUCCCGGGCCUUGUACACACCGCCCGUCACACCAUGAGAGUUGGAGAUACCCGAAGCCUAUGAGCUAACUUUUAGAGGCAGUAGUCGAAGGUAGAAUCAAUGAUUGGGGUGAAGUCGUAACAAGGUAGC
rnacentral:rRNA from 1 species